UGUUUCAAUUCAGAGGAAAUAGCUAUAGGU
rnacentral:piRNA from 1 species